GAUUGAACGCUAGCGGGAUGCUUUACACAUGCAAGUCGAACGGCAGCGCGGACUUCGGUCUGGCGGCGAGUGGCGAACGGGUGAGUAAUAUAUCGGAACGUACCCAGUAGCGGGGGAUAACUACUCGAAAGAGUAGCUAAUACCGCAUACGCCCUACGGGGGAAAGGGGGGGAUCGCAAGACCUCUCACUAUUGGAGCGGCCGAUAUCGGAUUAGCUAGUUGGUGGGGUAAAGGCCUACCAAGGCGACGAUCCGUAGCUGGUUUGAGAGGACGACCAGCCACACUGGGACUGAGACACGGCCCAGACUCCUACGGGAGGCAGCAGUGGGGAAUUUUGGACAAUGGGGGAAACCCUGAUCCAGCCAUCCCGCGUGUGCGAUGAAGGCCUUCGGGUUGUAAAGCACUUUUGGCAGGAAAGAAAUCGCACGGGUUAAUACCUUGUGUGGAUGACGGUACCUGCAGAAUAAGCACCGGCUAACUACGUGCCAGCAGCCGCGGUAAUACGUAGGGUGCAAGCGUUAAUCGGAAUUACUGGGCGUAAAGCGUGCGCAGGCGGUUCGGAAAGAAAGGUGUGAAAUCCCAGGGCUUAACCUUGGAACUGCAUUUUUAACUACCGGGCUAGAGUAUGUCAGAGGGGGGUGGAAUUCCGCGUGUAGCAGUGAAAUGCGUAGAUAUGCGGAGGAACACCGAUGGCGAAGGCAGCCCCCUGGGAUAAUACUGACGCUCAUGCACGAAAGCGUGGGGGAGCAAACAGGAUUAGAUACCCUGGUAGUCCACGCCCUAAACGAUGUCAACUAGCUGUUGGGGCCUUCGGGCCUUAGUAGCGCAGCUAACGCGUGAAGUUGACCGCCUGGGGAGUACGGUCGCAAGAUUAAAACUCAAAGGAAUUGACGGGGACCCGCACAAGCGGUGGAUGAUGUGGAUUAAUUCGAUGCAACGCGAAAAACCUUACCUACCCUUGACAUGUCUGGAAUCCCGAAGAGAUUUGGGAGUGCUCGCAAGAGAACUGGAACACAGGUGCUGCAUGGCUGUCGUCAGCUCGUGUCGUGAGAUGUUGGGUUAAGUCCCGCAACGAGCGCAACCCUUGUCAUUAGUUGCUACGAAAGGGCACUCUAAUGAGACUGCCGGUGACAAACCGGAGGAAGGUGGGGAUGACGUCAAGUCCUCAUGGCCCUUAUGGGUAGGGCUUCACACGUCAUACAAUGGUCGGGACAGAGGGUUGCCAACCCGCGAGGGGGAGCCAAUCUCACAAACCCGAUCGUAGUCCGGAUUGCAGUCUGCAACUCGACUGCAUGAAGUCGGAAUCGCUAGUAAUCGCGGAUCAGAAUGUCGCGGUGAAUACGUUCCCGGGUCUUGUACACACCGCCCGUCACACCAUGGGAGUGGGUUUCACCAGAAGUAGUUAGCCUAACCGUAAGGAGGGCGAUUACCACGGUGGGAUUCAUGACUGGGGU
rnacentral:rRNA from 1 species